GGCCUGGUGGUCUAGUAGUAUGAUUCCUUCUUAGGGUUCAUAGAACAAUUUGGAGGAGGUCCCGGGUUCAAUUCCCGGCUAGGCCC